CAACUCUGUGCCUUCUACAUAUAUUUUAAAAACCAUUCCUCCUGCCUCAGAUGAUAUACCAGUAUUGUGAUGGACCCACAUUAUAUUCUUCUCACCCUUAUUAAAGGACCUUUAUUUGGUAGAUUUUUGUUUACUUUAGGUUGACACUGAGAUAUGAAGUUCCUACCCAGUCAGCUGCUGAUUUACUCCAAUGGUUGGUACCAACAAGGAUCCCUCAUGUUGCAGUUCAAAUUCAAUUUGGCAAAACAGCCUGGGACCAGACUUCUUUAUCACAUUCCGGUUCACUAUGUGCCUUCACUGCAGUCAUCAUCUACAUCUCUGCCUCCUCCUCCCACAAACCAGAACCUUAAAAGAAUUCCUGGCAGCAUGUGAAGACUGCUUCGGCUGAACAGAUGGAAGAAACCAAUAAGAAGGCUCAACAGCUGAGAUGGCAACGCAGCAAAGCACUGUGGAGUGCUUAGGGCGUGUUGGAGCACAAAAGACAACACAGCCAUCCAAUGCAGCUGAGGAAGUCUCCAGGUGUAACGACUUUUCAUGCCACUGGACCUUUCAAGCCAUGGACCCAGGCUUCCAACACCGAGAGAGUGGGACUGUCUCUGUGCAUUGACUUUUCCACUUAAAUCUCCUUCAUGCACAAGUGUCUUUGUACACACUCAUCUAUACACCAUAGAUGAAAAUGCACAAAGACAAUCGUCAUCCUUGAUUACCGAGAGACUACUACUACUACUAGGAUGAGCUAACAUAAUA